AGCAAUAGUUUCAAGAGCAUGAGAAAUUAGCAAAACUUCACCUGUAAAGCUUAACCUGGAGCUUUAAUACCACCAUGACCUUUCAUCCUACAGGCAGAACCUUCACAAAGCUACAGACAAGGCACAGUGAUGACGCAAUUACCGGAGAGAGUGAAGUUUCUGCAGAAGCUUUAGGCUGAAUAGGCUCAGUGAGGAACCAUCUUUUCCUAAGCCCAAGCAGAAACAUGCUCAUGUUUUUAUAACACAGAGUUCCAUGAUGAUGGAAUGUUGCCUAUAUGUUCAAAGGACCUGGGCCACAUUAGUCUCAGCUCCUGGGACUUAAACCUGCAAGUGUUACUUUCCAUCUUGCCAACAUGUUACUCUCCAGGUCAACCUCACAUGAGGCAACCAUCAUAGAUUGUGAAGGCACAACAGAUGGCUUUUCCAGAAUUUAUAGCAUCAUGUCACUUGAGAAAGGAUUCAUCUUAAAGUCUUGUUUGGGAUAAGAAUGUCCAUGCUGGUUGUUUCCUUGCAAAGAUUGGUUGAUUCAGCAGGAGACUGAUGAAGAAAUCCUGCACUUCAGAGGCCACAAAAAAAGGUGACUAAGUUACACUCUUGACCUGAUGUAGCCAUUUGCCCCCAUAGAUGAAGACAAUGUCUUCAAUUUUUGUGGGGUAAGGGCCCUUGUGAAGCUCAAGCCAAAGUACCUGUGUCUUACAUUUGAAUACAUCUGCAAUUCUUAAGAGUCUCACCUUGUCUGAGGAGCUACCCUGCUACUCAGACAUUCCCAAGUCUCCUUUGAUGUAAACAUCAAAGAGAAACAAGUUGAUCCAAGUAGAAUGUAAUUGUUUGUAUAUAUUAUUCCCAAAAGUGAAAAAGAAAUUUUGUUUUGUACAGUAGAAAAGGGCAUUGGAUCACAACUGGGAAACCUCUCUAUUUAAAAAGAUGUCUU
rnacentral:lncRNA from 1 species